GUUUUGGAGCAGUUGUUUCCACAGUUGGGACUUGUUUGGCUUGCCCAGGAGGAUGGGAAUAGUAAAGUCAGCUUAGGGACUUGAUGCGGGACCCGAUCUUAUUCCAUAGCACUGUAGAACUUGCUGUGUAAUAUCGAGGUUGAUCAGCACAAUUUGUUGAAGAUUAUUUUUUCCCAUGUGUAUUUCCGACUUUGUCAAAAAUCAAGAAACACUUAUGCAGCUUGGAGGAUGGCAGAGAGGAAUUGAGGUGGCCUAGGAAAGAACUUCCCGAAGAGCUAAGGGGAUCCUGUCCACAUCUGGAGCGAAGACACCCUCCUGGUGCAGACAGCAAAAGGCCUGUUUCAAGUGAGGGAUGGCUAGUUCAAGGACAGGAGGGUGACAUCACAAGGACCAAUCUGUAAGCCAGAAGACUCAGAAGACUAAAAAGGCAAAAUUAGGUAGCAGGGGUUACCUGCUCAGAGCAGAGACAGAUGGGAAACUUCUGUCAUCAUUAAGGUUUUAUUGACCAGCGCGGCUGGAAUUUCCCAGAGAGAGGAAUUCAUCUCGCUACCGACUGAGAGCAGACAUUCUGCUGGGAGUAGUUACAUAAAUUCUGUUGCUCAAA
rnacentral:lncRNA from 1 species